AUGGAUUACCACCUAUGGCUGAAGUCACUUCCUCUCAGUCAAAGGCUGAGGAGCUUGGAGACCAAAGUAAGGACCAGAGCAAGAUGUCAGGAGAAGGCAUCUACAAGGUCAAAAGGAAGGAUCUGCUGCAUAGAGAACCUGAACCCAGAGAGCCUAAAAGGCUUUUAUAAAUUCCCACCAUGUCAGCAUUGGACACAGUGGGCUCUGGAUCUCAGAAUAUCCAGCAAAUACACACACAACCCACCAGAGGAGGAAGCUUCUGUAAGACCCAGCCUUUUGGGGUUGCAGACAUCCCCAACCAGCGGAUUUUCCUGUUAUUUAUGCCGAUUCAAUUUGAUUGCAGUUCUAUUACCUGGAUGGAAAUGCAGCCACAAAACUGUUGAUAAAGCUGUCACAGCAAGAUGGAGAUAGUAAGUCUCAUUAAUAUUAAGAAAAGAACAAACCCAUAAAUAAGAGAUUAUCAAGUGAAAUAAGAUAGUCUCUCCUCCAACUUCUAACAAAUCUCAUGUGCAAAACCAUGUAAUUUCCCCAGGCAUACUCCCUGCCAGCCAGAUGUAUAGAAAAUGAUUUGUGCAGGAGGGAAAUUGAUAUGCAGAACAAGGAGCUGGCAAAAUAAUUAGAGCCGUGAGGCUCCCUCAGUCUUGCUAUUUAUUUGAGAAGUCACCAAGUAGAAUCACAGGGUCUAGACCACACUGAUUAUGUAACACACUGGUCCUUGAAAAGAGCCUGGAGAUGAUAGAGAGGUGAGGGGACUGUCCCUUUGAAGGUGAAGACAGAGCCAAGCCUGACCCACUGAAUAGCUCAGAGCCACCUUCCCAGGUUGCUAAGAGCAAGUGCUGUCCCAUUGGUGGCACUACCCUGCCUCUCAUAGCCACAUGCCACCUGCCCACUCUACCCACUGAGGGACCAGCUUCCUGCCUCUCUUUCACUUUGUGAAAAGUGAUGACUCAGUCAUCCAGCUGAGGUGGUCUCUUGCAUUCCCUUGCAGGUGACCACACUCAAAGCCAUGUGCAGGUUCAGGUCACAUACUAAAUGAAAGUUUCUGAAACCUGAUUAAGAGCCAUCUGCAGAUAGUGACUGGUUGGGUCUGUAUCUUCAGGGGGCCCCCAGAUGAAUGGUUACUGUGUGUGUGUGUGUGUGUGUGUGUGUGUGUGUGUGUGUGUGUGUGUGUGUGUAGGGGUUCUAAAGAGGCUUAUUGCUUGAAAUUGAGUAAACCCACCAACGGAACAAUUCCUAAUGGACUGGAGAGAAGAAGGAGAGAGGAAAGGUGCAGGAGUGAGGGGAAGGAGGAGCAGAGACAGAGAAAAGAAGAGACCAGAAUUGGGCAGAGACAAGAGGACAGAGGGGAAGUAGAGGUAAGUGGGAUGUGAGCUGAGUAGAUAGGGCAGAGCAGAGGAGGCAGAGACAAAGA
rnacentral:lncRNA from 12 species